ensembl:lncRNA
CCUGCUCCUGGGCUCCCAGCACUGACAGUGCCCACCAGGCCCAUCUGUGUGGGUCGGGGGGGAGAGAGAGGCAGCAGGCCUUUGGGGUCGGGUCUGGGGGGCUGUGGGGGCCACAGACUAUCACUGAGAUACGAAAUGUCUCUGCAGAGCUGGAAGGUCAGGAGCUGAGGAGAAUAUGAAGGGCUCCCAUCAUGCUGCUGAGUGCCCCUCCUCUCCUGGCCGUACGCUGAGGGCAGGUGGAGGCAGGGACAAGGGUCAGGAGCAAGGGCAGAAUGAUUUUUUUGCUUUCUCAGUCUUCCUAGAAAGAAAGAAAGAAAAAAAAUCUAAAAUCUUUAAGAUAUGUGUGGGAUCUGUUGAGUCACGGCCUGAACCACGGAUUGAUCACCUGUGGAAAGGACCCAGUCAGCCCUGAGAGCACAGGUGAAAGCAAUUCAUGUGUGCGAAUGGAAGGAGGGGAGCCUGGCUGCAGCUCUCUUAGAUCUCAUUUAAGGGCUGACUGCUGCUGGGGAGGAUCUUUGCCUGGUGGAUUUGCCACAAGGUUUCUCACAAUGACUAACAGUAGAAGGAAAUGUGCUCUGAAGGGGUGUGCUUGCAAGUCGGCUCAAGAGAAAUGAAAAUCGUUGUAGCGGGGACCCUGCCUGGGAGCAGAGCAUUACCAAAUACGUUACUAUGCAAAGAAUCUCAUGUUGAAUAAUUUAGAAAUACCUUUUUGUUAGUGGUCAAGUAAAACAUGGCAACAGAGGGUAAUCUCAGGAAAAAGAGGGGAUAAAAACAUCUCUAUCAAGCCCAGACUUGAUGGGAAAGGAAGAGCUGAACAAGUGUGCGUGUCUGGGGGUGUUCAUCUUCUAGACUGCACCCAGAGAAGGAGAAUGAUUGUGAUGCUGCAGUCUCGGAACUCCAGUCAGUACACAAAUGGAAGGAUUUCUGGGCUGAGAUGAAUUUAUCUCCGCAGCUUCUAAUCUUUUGGAUUUUGUGUUCUAGUGCAGUGAAGCUUUUGGGCAUGAUUUAUCAUCACUAUAGCUAACACUGUAUGGGAAAAAAACUGACUUUAGAUCUUACAUCAAAGCUUUUAACAAAGCUUGUUUCCCUGGAUUUUACUUGCUUUCCAUUGUCUCC